rnacentral:rRNA from 1 species
AUUGAACGCUGGCGGCAUGCCUUACACAUGCAAGUCGAACGGUAACAGGUCUUCGGAUGCUGACGAGUGGCGAACGGGUGAGUAAUACAUCGGAACGUGCCCGAUCGUGGGGGAUAACGAAGCGAAAGCUUUGCUAAUACCGCAUAAGAUCUACGGAUGAAAGCAGGGGACCGCAAGGCCUUGCGCGAACGGAGCGGCCGAUGGCAGAUUAGGUAGUUGGGGGGAUAAAAGCUUACCAAGCCGACGAUCUGUAGCUGGUCUGAGAGGACGACCAGCCAACCUGGGACUGAGACACGGCCCAGACUCCUACGGGAGGCAGCAGUGGGGAAUUUUGGACAAUGGGCGAAAGCCUGAUCCAGCCAUGCCGCGUGCAGGAUGAAGGCCUUCGGGUUGUAAACUGCUUUUGUACGGAACGAAAAGACUCUUUCUAAUAAAGAGGGUCCAUGACGGUACCGUAAGAAUAAGCACCGGCUAACUACGUGCCAGCCGCCGCGGUAAUAC